ACGGAAGGCAGCAGCUAAGAAUAUUCCGCAAUGGACGAAAGUCUGACGGAGCGACGCCGCGUGGAUGAUGAAGGCCGAGAGGUUGUAAAAUCCUUUUGAACUGGAAGAAUAAACAGUGCAGGUAAUGGCAUUGUGGUGACGGUACAGUUUGAAUAAGCAACGGCUCAUUACGUGCCAGCAGCCGCGGUAACACGUAAGUUGCGAGCGUUGUUCGGAAUUAUUGGGCGUAAAGGGCAUGUAGGCGGUUAUCUAAGCUUGGUGUGAAAGGCAGGGGCUCAACUCCUGGACUGCAUUGAGAACUGGAUGACUAGAGUUACUGAAGUGGAAUCAGAAUUCCAGGUGUAGGGGUGAAAUCUGUAGAUAUCUGGAAGAAUACCAAUGGCGAAGGCAGGUUGCAGGCAGAUAACUGACGCUGAGGUGCGAAGGUGCGGGGAGCAAACAGGAUUAGAUACCCUGGUA
rnacentral:rRNA from 1 species